UCAAGCCGGCCAUAGAUUGGAACUGGCCUACCUGGUUAAAUAAAGCUGAAAUAAAAUAAAUGUAAAGAGGUAGCUUAAUCCAGCCAUAACUCUGCUAAUAAUGUAGCUAGAAUGCUAUUAAUAAUGUAGCUAGAAUGCUAUUAAUAAUUAAUACUAUUAAUGAUGUCAGGCCCGAAAGAGAACUAUAUCUAAAUAUUGAAUUAUAGGGUCGUUCAUGAAAGACAAAGGCAGAAAAAUUAUGGAUACCGGAUGUUUUUCCGAGAUGGCCUCAAGGAUGAGAAACCUUGUUGCCUCAUCCAGUCCAUAAAAGUAAUCUUCGGUCGAAAGUAGUAAAGGGUGUCAAGGACCUGAAUUCAACAGUGUGGAAGAUGCUACAUUGCAUUAUGUCAAACAUGCUUGCCAUCGCCACAACCUGGACUGGUGCAGGGGAUAAGGCCUGUUCUAAAGACUAUGCUUCACAGAGCCAUUAGAAAGAACCCUGCAACCCGGGAUGCCAUGGACGAUGGGUCCAGAUUCAGGUCACCCUUUACCUGAAAGGGGCGUCCGAUUGAAUGCGGGAGAAGGCGGUGCACAGGGGAGAGGGAUCCGCUGCAGUGAGGAUUCAACAUCAAGUCUCCGACCACCUAUCUCAAAACCAGCCCACUUUAGUCUUACGGACCAAUGCAAUAGUUAUGUCACCUAACUCCACUAUGUAGAUAUACUUUAAUUAUAAUUCUAUGCUGCUACUGCACUGUAGUUAUUCCACUCUAUGCACAAACAAUGUCCAUACUACAUGCCUAUAGGUCUUUUUUUCUUCUUCUUUUUUGUGUACUUUUACAAUGUCACUUAUUUUAUUCCUUUACUAUGUCACUUUGAAUACUAUGUCACUUUUGUUGCGAUUGCACUGUGUGAUUUGACUGGAUGUAUUUGUUGUCACCUGUUGAUCCAGGGAACAUGGACUGGCACUCUUCAUCUGAUCAUUUACGCACACAUAAUCAUUUACAGUUGUUGUACAUACUUAUUUUAAAUCACAAAACGUUUUUUAAAUGGACAUGGCAUCCAAUGUCUUAAAUAAUACAAAUAUAUAAAUAUAUUUAAAAAAUACUGGAAAAAUGUACGCACGCCGCUGGGGUUACAGCAUGUCACUGAAUUGCCAUAGAAAUCCUUAGUCAUAUCUUGUGCAUAUAAUUUUUGACAGUAAAGAACCUGAUUGUGAACUGGGCUUUGUUUGUCAUGUCAUAGCCAUGUUUUGUUACUUUAAAAGGAUGUGUCACUGUUAUGCUAUAUUUGUAAUGGGGAAGGGAUACAACAAAAGAGAAACAAUUAGUGAUGCAUUUUCCAGCAAAGAUUCUGUGUUAUUACAUAGCAACUACCAUAUCUGUUUCCAGGUAACACUGUGGGCUAGUUGGGAUGUUUAAAGGUAUUUAACAGUAUAACUAAAGAUAAACAGGUAAUGUUGCAUUUUCCAGCACUGAUUCAGCGUAAGAGACCAAGAACGCGCCAACAAAA